GGCCGUCUGGCGCAAUGGCAGCGCGUCCGCCUACGACCUAGCCGCUUGCGUGGGAAAGCUUGUGGCGUGGGAAUAUCAAGCGGGAGGUUGCAGGUUCAACCCCUGCGUCGGUCA